CGCUUGAAAAAUGAUGCCGUCCCCUCAGUUUGGCCAAAUCAAAACAAUGCCUCCCUCAAGCCUUUGGACUACCUUUCCUUCUUAUCAUCACCACCAAAGCCAAUUAGAGCUUCCACUGGCAGUCAAAGACUUCAACUUGAACACCAACGUCAGGAGUCUGAAAUGUUCAAGGAGAUAGAAGUGCACACGUCAACUGAUAUGUUUGAUAAGUUAUGACGGGAGACAUUACCAUCAAGAUUUCUUCUUCUAAAAGCACCCAAAUUGUUACUCGUAAAACUUGAAGCUACUGAGGACAAGGUCCUCGAAAUCAAAUUGGCAAUCCAGGACAACCUCACAUUCAAAGUCUUCCUAGGAUAUCAGAGGAUCAGCAAUACUUCAUUUUGUCACUGUCUUGGAUUAAAAUCGGAUAAGAUCAAUUCUGUCACUGAAGCUAUCAAUAUUGUUACAUAUAUUGGAUCAAAGGAGCAAUUGACUCAAUAUGACACGUGUGAAGUCAUUAUGAGCUUGCUUCCUAGAUUGAAAGAAUCCCAAGAUUUGGAGACAUCCCAAACAUCAAAGGCCUUCUUUCCGUUUGUCUUUUGUAACAUACAUAGAUGCAAAUAUACAAUACGAAUUCCAAAAAUAGUAUAAUCCCACGAAACAAACAAAUAAUUAAGUUUGGAUGAGGAAGAGAAGACCCAAAAUGAAGCAGAAGGAUCUCGACUUUUCCGAGUUAUUAUUUAAUCUAAAUUAUAUUAUUAAUAAUAGAUAUGUUUAUUUUUUAGUUCUUGUUUAUUUAUUAUUAUCAUAAUAUUACAGUACAAACUAUUAUGAUUGUAUAAUCCUACCUGUAAACUUAUUCCAAAAAUUAGGAUCGAUAAAAUCAAAUGAUAAUUAAUGUAAUAUAAUAUCAAGACUUAUUAUUAGGUAAAAAAUAAUUAAGUUUGAAUAAAGUCCAUGAUUAUUUA
rnacentral:lncRNA from 1 species